ACGACCUUACUUGAACAGGAUCUGUUCUAUAGGCUCGUACCACUGUAUCCUUGAGUUCUAAGGAGACAGGAAACUAAGUCUGGUUGAUGACACGUGGCCAUUUGACCAGAGCGUGAUUAACAGCACCCAUGGCCUUCGGGUUCAUGGCCGCCGUAGAUGAUCGUUCUCAGCUCCGUCAACGGUGUUGGGAUGGUCUAAUGGCUGUCUGACAGAUU